AAUUAUUUAGCUUAAAAAAAGCAACUAUCUUGAAAAUAGUCCAUAGUAGUUUAAACCUUCUAGUAAUUU
rfam:Folsomia candida strain VT population Fcan01_Sc005, whole genome shotgun sequence.